UUAGUCUCGCACAGAUGCAUAUCAAUAAGCGGAGGAAAAGAAACUAACAAGGAUUCCCCUAGUAACGGCGAGUGAAGCGGGAAGAGCUCAAAUUCGAAAUCUUAAAGGGUUUCCCUUUACGAAUUGUAGUUUAAAGAAGUGUUUUCUGUUGAGGUUUUGGUAAAAGUUCUUUGGAAUAGGACAUCAUAGAGGGUGAGAAUCCCGUAUUUGACCUUUACUUUCAACUUUGUGAUACACUUUCAAAGAGUCGGAUUGUUUGGGAAUGCAGUCCAAAAUGGGUGGUAAAUUUCAUCUAAAGCUAAAUAUUGGCGAGAGACCGAUAGCGAACAAGUACCGUGAGGGAAAGAUGAAAAGAACUUUGAAAAGAGAGUUAAACAGUACGUGAAAUUGUCAAAAGGGAAGCGUUUGACACCAGUGUUGUUUUUCUGAAAAGUCAAUUAAAGAACUGUUUAUGCUAAGUUGUUUAGACUUUAUCAGCUAACUGUUUAGUUUUGAGCUUUUCUUUAAUGCACUUUUCAGUUAACAAGUCAACAUCAAUUUCUUUUGCUGUAAAAAAGCUUGAGGAAGGUGGCUUGAGAUUCGUCUUAAGUGUUUAUAGCCUCUUGCCUAUGCAGCCGGAGAGAUUGAGGUCUGCAGCGUAGAUCCUUCGGGGCUAAAUGCAUUUGUGCUAAGUUAUAGCAUUUUAUAGACAACUUGUUGACUAUGAUUUGUCUUGUAGCUUACUCGCUUAUGUUAUUUUACCUACGCUUAGGAUGUUGACGCAUGAGAUAUACGC
rnacentral:rRNA from 1 species